GAAAUGCGAUACGCAGUGCGAAUUGCAGAACGCGAGUCAUCAGAUCUUUGAACGCAAGUGGCGCCGGUUAGCAGCCGGCAUGUGAGGCUCAGUGUGUUUGGAAAUCCUAAAUGCGGAAUGUGGUUGAAGUUGCGCGACUAACCUCACAAAGCUUCUCCCAUUAAACAACGCAGCAGGGGCGCUGCGCGCGGUGAAAUCUUUCCCCGUCGGGCUGUCCUCUCCCCGGUAGUAGUCACUAGCAUCCUAGUGAUCUCCGGCGAGGGCUCUCUUCGAGGCGAGCAGCCGUGCGAUCUACAACAGCGCCCCCUUUACCCCCCACCUCCUCAUUCUACACCUGAGCCCCGCAAGAUCACCCGCUGAACUUAA
rnacentral:misc_RNA from 1 species